CCCAAAACCCAAACCUAAACUAUCAACCCAAUUACCCUAGCCCGGACAGGCCCAAAAUCAACCCAACUUCCAGCCAAAGAAAGACCAGAAAACCCUAGCAUUCAACCUCAGCUGCCGCACGCAGCAUGGGGCCAAGUCCCUCCAUGCGUGCUGAGCCCCUGCCUCCACGUGCGCCUCCGUACACGCCACGUCCACCGCCUCCGUAAGUCGUACCUGCAAAUAGGAUGAAAACAACGCAACAAAGAAAGAGAAAAACAUUGUAUUUUUUAUUUCAUCUGUAUUUUUUUGAAUAUUUUGCUAUAAAAAAACAAACAGAAAGCCAUUGUUUUUGUUUUACGGGGACAGACGAAAAGCAAUAGAGAAAUAAAUUUUUUUUCAAAAACCAGUAAAGAACAAAUCAUUUCAGGUGGUUUUUUGACUUCGUUUUAUUAUUAUUAUUCUUUCGUUUUCUUUGAUUUGUUUUCAUUUUAGAUGCAAAAAAUAUAAAAUAAAAAGGGUGAGAUUACCUUUGUGUGCGCCAUCUAAAUCUCUGCUUGCUCCGUCCCAAAUCAGAGCUAAAAGUGGAGGGUCUAGAGUCUAUGCGGCGGCGAGAAAAAAACACAGAAGUGGCUACUGGUUUUAGGGUUUAAAAAAGGCUAUUUAAAGUAGGGAAAACAACACCGUUUAGGGCUUGUGUCAAUGGCUCUAAAACGGUGCUGUAUUGAGCCAUACCCGAUGACCCGACCCAAAUGAGACUAGAUCCACGCGUUUUGGCAGGGGGAGGGAUAUUUGCGCAUCAAGCCCUUUUGCUUUUGUGCCGUAGUUCAAUCUAGUGUUUUUUUUUUGUUUUGUUACUUUAAUUUUGGACAUACGAUUUUCUGCUGAUUGCAUUUCGAUCCCUAUUGGAACGCAGCAUUUUGGAAGGCAGGGAUUAAUUUCCCUUUUGACCGCUCUCUGUUAUGCGCGUGUUCAAUGGGGUUCGCAUCUUUGUAUUUAUUUCGAAUUGGCUCUCAAAUUUCAAUUUUGAUUUCAAAAUUAGUCUUUCUGUUGUUUUUGUACUGUUGCUGUUGUUAUUAUUAUUAUUAUUAUUAUAAUUAUUAUUACUCUUAUUUCUUCUUUAUAUUUUAGAUUAUGUCUUAAUUCUAGCUUAGUCUUUAAUAGCAUAAUUUUAAAUCGAAUUAGUACUUAUUUUAAUAUAUUUAUUUAUAGCCUAUUUUAAUACUUAGUUUGACAUUACUUUUAAACUUAUUAUUAAUAUAAUUUUAAGAUGUAGUAUGCUAUUAUUUUUAAAUUAUCAUUAACAUGUUUUAAAUUUAUAGCCAAGUAUUUAUUUUGAAAUAAAACCAUACAAAUUUUAAAUAAAAGUUUUUCGGGAUUUCAAAAUGUUGAAUCCUAACUCACUAGAUAUGACAUUUUGCUACCUCGAAUUAAGGAUUUUAAAAAUAAAGGCAAUAUUCGAUAUUUAGGAAUUUCGGGAAAUUGAACCCUAACUUACUGGGUUUUGAUUUUUCAUUUUACCCAAAUAACCAUCCUUCUCAAAAUGCAUGGGUUCUAAAAAUGUUGCGCCCUAACUUACUGGGUAUGACGUUUUAUUUCUUUGAAAUAAGAGUGUUUUAUUUUCAAUUUAUUCAAGUUAAAAGGAUUGUAUUUUAAAAUCUUUUCAAAAUUUCGACACUAAGACAUUAAAAAAUUAAUUUGGUACCAAUUUUGGGCGUUACGAGGGUGCUAACCCUUCCUCAUGCGUAACCGACUCCUGAACCUGUUUUCUCAAAUUUCGCAAACCAAAAUUGUUUUUAAGGUGAGCUGAUCACACCCCAAUAAAAAAUCGGUGGCGACACUAAUUUUUGUUUUUAAAGUCGACAACUAACUUUUGUUUCAAAAAAGUGGUUUCGACACACUUAAGUGAAACUAUUCUUUGUUUGUUUAUUUUCUUUUUACUCUUAUAAUGAUGCGAAAACUAAAAAUUACUUUGUUGUGUAAUAAAUAGAUAUAAUAAUAAGAGAGGUUGGAAGGUUUAGGUAAAUGCAUUCUCAUGAGAUUGAUGGGUUGUAAGAUUUAGGCUAUUUUACCUAAAUAGUCUAAAAAAUAUUAUAUUUAUCAAAAUAACCCAUGUUUAAAAACAAUCACCAAAAUAACCUGAAAUAAACAGUAAAAUGAGGUUGUGGCCUGUGAAUGGCCGGAACCAACUAGUAUUUUAGACACAUGAUUGUCUGAUAAUUGUGUCAGACUUAAAAAAAUGAUUUUUUUGGUUCUGGCCUGUCAAUGGCCGGAACUAGUGUAUUUUUUUUAAAUUGUAUAAUAAUGAUUUACAAAAAUGAAAAAUAAAAAAAAUUCGAGUUUUGGCCUGUCAAUGGCCGGCACCAAAAUACGAAAAAACUAAAAAAAAAAUUUGGUGGUGGCCUGCAAAUGGCCGGCACCACCUUUUUUGGGGGAAUUUUUUUUUUACAUAAAAAAAUUAAAUCAAUAUAAAAGCAAAAAAAAUUAAAAGUCCAUUUACAUAAAAAAAAAUAGUCCAAAUUACAAUUACCCAAAACCCAAACCUAAACUAUCAACCCAAUUACCCUAGCCCAGACAGGCCCAAAAUCAACCCAACUUUCAGCCAAAGAAAGACCAGAAAACCCUAGAAUUCAGCCUCAGCCGCCGUACGCAGCAUGGAGCCAAGUCCCUCCACGUGUGCCAAGCCCCUGCCUCCACGUGCGCCUCCGUACACGCCACGUCCACCACUUUCGUACGCCGUACCUGCAAAUAAGAUGAAAACAACGCAGCAGAGAAAGAGAAAAACAUUGUAUUUUUUAUUUUAUCUGCAUUUUUUCAAAUAUUUGGCUAAAAAAAACAAAAAGCCAUUGUAUUUUUUUUACGGGGACGGACGAAAAGAAAUAGAGAAAUAAAAAAAUUUUCAAAAACCAGUAAGGAACAGAUCUUUUUAGGUGGUUUUCCGACUUCGUUUUAUUAUUAUUAUUAUUAUUAUUAUUAUUAUUAUUAUUAUUAUUAUUGUUAUUAUUAUUGUUAUUAUUAUUAUUAUUAUUAUUAUUUCUUUCAUUUUCUUUGAUUUGUUUUCAUUUUAGAUGCGAAAAAUAUAAAAGAAAAAGGGUGAAAUUACCUUUGUGUGCGCUAUCUAAAUCUCUGCUUGCUCCGUCCCAAAUCAGAGCUGAAAGUGGAGGGUCU
rnacentral:lncRNA from 1 species